UACGUAGGGGGCAAGCGUUGCCCGGAUUUAUUGGGCGUAAAGGGCGCGUAGGCGGCUACGCACGUCCGUUGUGAAAUCGCUCGGCUCAACUGGGCGGGGUCAGCGGAUACGGCGUAGCUGGAGCAAGCUAGGGGGCAAUGGAAUUCCCGGUGUAGUGGUGGAAUGCGUAGAUAUCGGGAGGAACACCAGUGGCGAAGGCGGUUGCCUGGAGCUUUGCUGACGCUGAUGCGCGAAAGCGUGGGGAGCGAUCCGG
rnacentral:rRNA from 1 species